UAUUGCACAAUGGGGGAAACACUGAUGCAGCGACGCCGCGUGGGUGAAGAAGUAUUUCGGUAUGUAAAGCUCUAUCAGCAGGGAAGAUAAUGACGGUACCUGACUAAGAAGACCCGGCUAACUACGUGCAAGCAGCCGCGGUAAUACGUAGGGGGCAAGCGUUAUCCGGAUUCACUGGGUGGAAAGGGAGCGUAGGUGGCAGGGCAAGUCAGAUGUGAAAACCCGGGGCUCAACCCCGGGAGUGCAUUUGAAACUGUCCAGCUGGAGUGCAGGAGAGGUAAGCGGAAUUCCUAGUGUAGCGGUGAAAUGCAUAGAUAUUAGGGGGAACACCAGUGGCGAAGGCGGCUUACUGGACUGUAACUGACACUGAGGCUCGAAAGCGUGGGGAGCAAACAGG
rnacentral:rRNA from 1 species